rnacentral:lncRNA from 1 species
GGAAAACUUUUAAAAAAGCAUUUCUGCCUUCUAUUUCCUCCAAAUUCACUUUGCUUCUUUCCUGCCUGUACCAAAACCUUCAUGUGCAUAAAGACAGAUGAAUGCAUAGGAAUUUUAUGUGCAGGGUGUUGAAAAUAGAGCAUAAGCAAUGUCCUAAAGAAAUGUCCUGAUUGAUGGCAAUGUCCUAAAGAAACCUAGAACUGAGAAAUCCUCCAAAAGUUGAUGCAUUUGAUGUUAUCAUCAAUAAACUUCCUCUCCAGCAUUCAGAAUAGUAACAUGCCACAUGGUGGGAAAUCAUGUUAGAUAUAGUUGUAUAUAGUCAUGUUAUACAUAGCAUGUGUGUGUGUAUGUAUGUGUAUAUGUAUAUAUAUAUAUAUAUUCAGUUAUCACAUAUAUAUGAACUGAAUUGCCCCAGUAAGCUGAGAAGGGUCCUCUGGGUAGAAUAAGAUUCCUACUUAAGAAGCAGAAGGACUAUACCAUUGUAUGUCCAUGUGGGUUGCCACACUUCCUUCUCUGAUCUUUUCGAGUAGUUCAGACAUCUGCCCAGAUUGUGCCAACUUCCAACUUAAAAUGCUUGUGCAGCCUGGAUUGCAGACUUCAGAGCUUUCCAGCUUUCUUCUACCCGGCCUGGGUCUUUCACGAGGCCCAACCUCUCACCGACCCCUGUGACAUGUGCUUAUUCUUGCCUUCCUCCACUGGGUUCUUUUAUAGAGCGUUCUCUCCUGCCUCUCAAGUUCUCUAGUUGUUAGCAGAGUCUUCUGGGUGCUUCCUCUCUCCAUCUUUGGCUCAUCUUUUCUUACCUCUGGUGCAUUUCUGGCAGAAGCCUCCUGGUUUGGUAUUUAACAACUAUGUGCUCUCUUCAAUUGUGGUUUUUUUCUCUCCUAGUGAUAACUUCACUUCUUUGAGUCUCAGAUUUGUUCCUUACAAAAUGAUAACGUAUGCGGGGGUCGUUGCGAAGAUGAAACAAGACAGAGCACAAGGCCUGGGCCACAGCCUGUGCUUCAUAAACAUUCCCGGCCUCUUUUCUUCCAAGGGGCUAUUUCAUGUUUCUGUGGUAUCUUCUUCUCUAUCUAGGGGAGCAAAAUAUUUUUGUGCAUUGUUCUUAAUGUCAAAAGCUUAAGCAAAGAGGGGGGAUAGUAGAGGAUAGAAAAGGCAGCAGAAUACAACAGACACUAGUAUGGCAAUACGUAAAUCAAUGGAUGUGUAACUGAU